ACACGUAGGGGGCGAGCGUUGUUCGGAAUCAUUGGGCGUAAAGGGCGCGCAGGCGGCGAGGCAAGUCCGGUGUGAAAGUGCUCGGCUCAACCGAGUGAUGCGCUGGAAACUGCCCUGCUUGCGUACAGGAGGGGACGUCGGAAUUCCAGGUGUAGGGGUGAAAUCUGUAGAUAUCUGGAAGAACACCGAUGGCGAAGGCAGGCAUCUGGCCGGAGACUGACGCUGAGGCGCGAAGGCGCGGGGAGCGAACAGGUUUAGAUACCCUGGUAGUCCGCGCAGUAAACGAUGCGCACCAGGUGUCGGGCGGCAGCGCCCGGUACCGGAGCUAACGCGAUGAGUGCGCCGCCUGGGGAGUAUGCCCGCAAGGGUGAAACUCAAAUGAAUUGACGGGG
rnacentral:rRNA from 1 species